GUAUUAUAUUAAUGGCCUUGCGGCACAGAGCACGUUCAUCAUUGUUAACAGCGUAUAAUAAUUCAAGGGAAUACAAGAAAAUCACCAAAAACGGCAAUAAAACUCGAAACUCCCUCAAAAAUGUGCACAGGUGUUUGGAAGAUGAUUGUUAGGGCAAGCACAUGCAUCCAAAAAUUGGCUGCCAGCAUCAAACCCCAUCACAACUCAUUAAUGAUCCUUCCGCAGGUUCACCUACGGAAA
rnacentral:misc_RNA from 1 species